rnacentral:rRNA from 1 species
UACGUAGGGCGCAGGCGUUAAUCGGAAUCACUGGGCUUAAAGCGUGUGUAGGCGGAUCGUUAAGUACCUUGUGAAAUCCCACGGCUCACCCGUGGAACUGCUCGGUAUACUGGCGGUCUUGAGCCACUUAGGGGCUGUCGGAACAGACGGUGGAGCGGUGAAAUGCGUAGAUAUCUGGAGGAACACCGGUGGCGAAGGCGGCAUCCUGGACCGGUAUUGACGCUGAUGCGCGAAAGCCAGGGGAGCAAACGGG